rnacentral:rRNA from 1 species
UACGUAGGGGGCAAGCGUUGUCCGGAAUUAUUGGGCGUAAAGAGCGCGUAGGCGGUCCGGUAAGUCGGUUGUGAAAGUCGGGGGCUCAACCCUCGGAUGCCGAUCGAUACUGUCGGGCUAGAGUCCGGAAGAGGCGAGUGGAAUUCCUGGUGUAGCGGUGAAAUGCGCAGAUAUCAGGAGGAACACCAAUGGCGAAGGCAGCUCGCUGGGACGGUACUGACGCUGAGGCGCGAAAUCGUGGGGAGCAAACAGG